UCUCCUCCAUCUGGUCAUUGAAAGCAAGAGUUUGACCAGGUGCAGUGACUCACACCUGCAAUUCCAGAGCUUUGGGAGGCUGAGGUGGGAGGAUCACCUGAAGCUAAGAGUUCAAGACCAGCCUGGGCAACAUAACUUGGAUUCACUUGCUGGUCAUCAUUGGUAGCAUCUUGUCUUAUUUUUUAUUUGCCAUAGUUUUUGGAGCCAUGUGUGUAACUUGCAACCCACCAUCCAACCCUUACUGGAUUAUGCAGGAGCACAUGCUGGAUCCAGUAUUCUACUUAGUUUGUAUCCUCACAAUGUCCAUUGCUCUUCUGCCCAGGUUUGUAUACAGAGUUCUUCAGGGAUCCCUGUUUCCAUCUCCAAUUCUGAGAGCUAAGCACUUUGACAGACUAACUCCAGAGGAGAGGACUAAAGCUCUCAAGAAGUGGAGAGGGGCUGGAAAGAUGAAUCAAGUGACAUCAAAGUAUGCUAACCAAUCAGCUGGCAAGUCAGGAAGAAGACCCAUGCCUGGCCCUUCUGCUGUAUUUGCAAUGAAGUCAGCAACUUCGUGUGCUAUUGAGCAAGGAAACUUAU
rnacentral:sRNA from 1 species